CACGCCCUGGCGGAUGGCGGCGACGACAAUGCCCUCGGCCGCCAACUCGCGAUCCAACGCACGCUGGACGAGCGCCGAGCCGCUCUUGCCGCGCUCGUCGGCGGGCAGGUUGUAGAGUCGGCCGGCGACCUUGGGCAGAUCGCGCAUGCGCGUGCGUUCGCCUCGCAGAUAGGCCACGUUUUGCGGCAGCACAUAAGGUACCUCGACUGUCGAGACGCCAGUCAUACGCAACACGGCCGCCGUAUAAUGAUCAAUGUCGGGAAAGGUGCGCAUGGCGCCGAGUUCGACGGCCGUCGGCGAGCCCUCGACGGGCAGGGAUUGCAGACGACCGCCGACGACGGCACCGCGUUCGACCAAGGCCACGGUCAAGUGCGGGUAGUAUUGGCGGAUGCGCGCCGCGGCAAAGAGGCCGCUCACGCCGGCGCCCACGACGAGCACAUCCACCGUCUCCACGAGUUGUUGAUUGUCUCGGCGCCCGUUGUUGUCGCCUGUGGCGCCGUUCUUCUUCAUGUCGGCUUUGUCUUUGUUCUUGGCACUUUUCCAUUUGUCGGCUUUGGCGCGACCGCCGCGGCCCGCUGUCUGGCUCUGAUCGUCUGCGGUGGUGCGCUGCAUGGGCGAUGCGUCUCGGUCAUG
rnacentral:lncRNA from 1 species